UUUUAAUUAAAAAAUAUAUAUAUAUUAUAUUAUAUUAAUUAAUUUAAUUAAUUAAUUUAAUUAAUGUUAAUUUUUAUAUAUUAUAUUUUUAUAUUUUUCUAAAUUUUUAGCAUACACGGCCUUUCCUAAAGGGUAACAAAAACACCGUUAAAUCUUGCUCCUUGAAAAUGAAUUGCAACUUGCUUCAUUUAUUUAAUGAUAGUUUUUCAAGUCCACGAGCGCACGAGUCGUGUGGAUGGAGUUUGAGCUCCUCUCCCGUUGCCAACUCGCAUAAACAAAGACCGCAAUGACGGCAUUUACACAAGUAGGAACGUCUGGUACUUGGCUCUCUUUGUUGGGAGCCUAUAAAAGUGUUCCCCCCGCUCUGCAAUUACAAGCCGGAGCUGCCGAUCGGCGCUCUCUUCGCUCGACUAGUCGGAUCUGGAGGGAAGCACAGCACAGCACAGCCGGAGUCUGGCUGUAUGAAAAGCACUGCAAGGUUGGCUGAGGCAGCUCGGCUGAACUCAGAUGACCCACAUUCUGUGGCCGUCCAAUGGAAGGAGCGCAAAGGCUUGUUAUUCUCACAGAUUAUGAGACAGCCGCGCGCCAAUUGCAAGUUACGCCAAACACAACGUUUGCUUGAAGGAAGAAGAAGCUGAGAUAUAUUCAUGUGGUCAAACCGUUUGAGCACCAUUGCCACCCCAAAAAUUCUUUCCUGUCUUUUGCCUUGUAGACAGAAUCCAGCAAAGUGUGACAUUGCCGUGUUGCCGUGAUCAAAUGAUUUGAUGCAUGAAAGGAGACAUCUGGUGGGAUGUUAAAUCAAGACAGCCACAUUUUAAACACAACAAGGCGGGAAAUCAUUAGCCAUAAAGCAAGACAAAGACUGUUUGUAUAAUAGCACAAAGAACUCUUUGCAGAGGAUAAAGAAUAUAUGACAGGUCUCUGCCAGUUGACAUGCAGCCAGACAAGCACAGGCAAAGUCUUCUUCAGAUCAUCCUCAGGGAGCACACAAGUGGCACACUGUGGGGAGGGCUGUGAGAUCUUCAUUGUCAUCAUUGGACCUUUUUCUUUUUUUAUCUAGCUCACUUUAUAGGCUUAACUUUACGUGUCGUUUUUGCUCAGGCCACCGGAUGUGGAAAUUAGAUGCCACCUGACAGGAAAGCAAAUUGAAUGACAGACUUAUCAAACAUGUUUUCAUUUCACGAUGUCUCAAUGGAGUGACCUUUAGAAGAAUGUUCUUUUCAUGCUUAUUUGGUCAGAAAAAGAAGAUUGAGGCUUUUGGAAUAAGAGCAGAAGUAUUAGAGCGGCUUCUCUGCUGCAGCUGAUGCACUCCUGUGAGAAUGAAUGCACACUUUCAGUACGGUGCACAAAAGCAGCGCUCUAGAAUGUUCUCAGUGUUCAGCCCGAGCAAGGCGACGUGCCAUUCAGAGGGCCAUCUGGAUGUAUUAUUUGACAUAUUCUUUGCUCGCCCAAAAAAACACGACGUUCUCGCGUUUCGUGUGCGACUUCUUCUCGAGGAGAGGGUCUAUUUCCUCUUUCUCAGGGCGUUGUGUGAGUUGUGGCGAAAUAUGCGAGUGUUAAUCAACUCCCGGGCAUACGGCUACCAAAAGAGUAAGGAAAUCAGCUGCAGCUUCGAAAACCACAAGUUUUUUUUUUUAUGAUUGCAAAUCCUGAAGUAGAUGUUUUUUUUCUUAAACUCCGACAACGUGAUGGCUCCGGGGACCUUUUGUACUCUGAGAUAGCUUGUGUAGUGUCUAGCAUUGACAUCCAGUUCCAGGGCAAAUUGGCCAUUUCACAUUGUUUGUAGUAGGAGAGAAAAGCACAGCCUGACCACUUUGACAGUCAAUCUGGCUGUCAUGCCAAGGUCAGAGUGGCAAGGGAAAUAAAACGAAAAGCAUGAAAAGUCACAAGCAGAUUUAAUCCCUUAUAGCUGUAUUCUUCUUUUUGGCAGGUGGUCAGUGCUGUAACCUCCGGCUUAUUUCCAGGGAUUGAUUUUCAUGUCUGGGUACCAAAUUCAGAAAAACACCAGUAUUGUCGAGGUCAGGGAUAGAAAACUUAAAUCGUGGAAGGGUUGGCAUGGAAGGCAAUUACGAAACACAGUUAGUGUUAGCGCAAAACCUUCAGGCUCCUACUAUCAGGAAAAGCCUCCGAAAAAAAUCUUCAUUUGAUCAGAGGCACUUUAAAAGAGGGGCAGGUGUGCGCUGACAGGGGUGUGUAGACUUUUUAUGUAAGUCAAACCGACAAAUACUAGCUUUUCAGAAACAAGCUUCCACUAGCAUUAGCGACUUUGUACUUCAAGAAUAAAGGCUCUCAUCAUUUUCCUCAGUGAAAAAAAAUGUACGUCACCAAGUAUAAAAAAAAAUCAAAUAGAAAAAUUCCUCGCUGGUGGUGCAGCUUUUACGAUAUCCAUUUCUCUUCUUUAUAUGUUUGUGAUACGUCAAAGAUAACAAAUGUUAGCAUUCAUCUGUAAACACGCUACUGUUUUAGCUAGGCUUCUUCAAAACCAUCUUUAACAAAAACAGCUAACGGCUCACUCCGGUGUACAGUGACUUUAUUUAAAUGGAGAUAUUUUCUUCCUCUAUUCAUUAACUAACUGCUUUCCGUGAUCUCUAAAUCAUUAACUGACCUUCUGUUUGCAUUUUGUUUUAUCUGAAGUUGCCCUAGCUGUCACAAGUAGCAGAGCUAAUAUAGACGUAACGGGCUGUUUUCACCCAGCGUGCUAUUAUCAGGCAAGACAGUAUUUUUUUUUUCCACGUCAGAGGAAAGCUGACACAGCAAAAAGAAACGAGAAGAAGUUACUGACGGAAUGAAACUAUAAUCUCGGUACUUAUUUGUCCCAUUGUCUCUCUUCUGUUGCUGAAUGACACACCAUCAACGGUUCUUAUGACUAAUGAUGACAAAGCAGGCUGCUAUUUCACCUGUGUAGAAAACAAAAGAGGAUUAGUCAGAAGAUAAAUUUAAAUGCGACGUUGAAUUUGGAGCCCGGCGUAUUUUGAUCUCUCGCUGGGUUACAGGUGACAACAUAUUGAUAGUGAGAAACAAACUGUGGGCGGGAGGUGCAGCCGUCGGUCGGUCGGUCGCGUGAGGAGCUUCGGUGAGUCACAAACUCCAUGUUAUUGCCAGCAGUCUAGCAAGAUCUACUGGUUACGAAAAGCCCCGAAAUGAUUUCGCACUUAUCAGCAACUCCUGCUCACGUAACUUGCCUGGCAAACAAAGAUGACUGACUGAGACAACAACAGAAGUCAAGCUACAAGUACAAACAAGGCACAAUGCACAUUGUACUUAAUUUAGAUCUCUUGCCCACAAGAAAAUAGAGAUGAGGGUUUAUCACUCUAAAAUGUUCAGGCAGAACUGGCCUACACAUUGCCGUCAGUCGUAGUCAAAGGGCGGAGGCUAAAAGAAGGUCA